UCUUAUGGACGAGCAAAGGGAGUAGUUUCUUCAUUGGGAAUCUACCCCUGGUGAAGAUGUUGUGAA
rnacentral:pre_miRNA from 1 species